rnacentral:lncRNA from 1 species
CCAGGCAGGAAGUAACAUAGCAGGCCAACUCAGAAUAUAAGCAGGAAAUCGCUCUCUUCCUCUUCUAACUGCUCUCUUCUGUACGGAGCUGCCAUGUGAUCCCAGAAAGAGAAUACCAGCAGAAGGCAUCCACAAUAAGAUAAGUCUUAUAAAAUAUACAGAUUUAUGAUAAUUAAGUAUGAGAUAAAGUAUAAGAAAUCCUAGUCAAUUGGCCAGCAGAAUUUGAAACUAAUAUAAAUCUCUGUCUGUUAUUUGGGGCCCUAACACAGCAGAUGGCACUCGGGGGGCUGGAGGAAAGACUUAUCAUUACAGAGAUGGAUGCUUUCUACUAUUUUAUAAGAAGACAGCAGAGAACCAAUCAAGAUGGAGAAGAGACAUGGAUGACAAACAGGUUUUUUCCACAUUUUGCUGAAACCACCAUCUGCAUACUCUCAACUGCAGAUUUACCAGAUUGAUAAGAAGGGAUUGAUAACUACCUUAAAUGUCAUCAGAGAGCCUUAAUCCAGUAGCUGAUGGAAGCCAGAAGCAGAGAUUCACAGGUAAAUACUGGGCCAAAUUCCUGGAGUCCAGGUG